AAUAGGCAUUAUAUAAUUUUGCUCAGAAAAAUAUAGAAAAUUAAGGGAUAACCAAAAAUAAAAAAAAUCAUGAAGAAUUCUAUGUUGCUUAGCAUUUUUAUCUUAAUUCUUCUAUUUAGCUUACCCGACUCCUUUCAAGAAGAUCCUAUGGCCACGCGCAACGUUGAAUUCCGACAUAUUGGUGGCUGUAAAAGAGAUAGAGUGCGUCAGUGCACGGACGAGGCAAUAGAAAAAUAUGGGGAAAUUUCUAAUCCAGAGGGAUGUACAUGUGAUACUUUUAUAGCCUUCCACAUUUGCAGGUGCACUAUCCAUAAUACUUCUUGAAAGCCAAAUGAAGUUCAAAACCAACUACAAAUACUUAAUCGGUUGAUUAUUAGGCAUGUAAUAAAGUUCAACCGUAUAAUAAUAAAGUCAAAAUGUUUGAUGA